rnacentral:rRNA from 1 species
UACGAAGGGUGCAAACGUUGCUCGGAAUUAUUGGGCGUAAAGCGCACGUAGGCGGCUUUGCAAGUCGGAUGUGAAAUCCCUCGGCUUAACCAGGGAAGUGCAUCCGAAACUGCAGAGCUUGAGUACUUAAGAGGAUCGCGGAAUUCCCGGUGUAGAGGUGAAAUUCGUAGAUAUCGGGAGGAACACCAGUGGCGAAGGCGGCGAUCUGGGAAGAUACUGACGCUGAGGUGCGAAAGCGUGGGGAGCGAUCCGG